UACGAAGGGGGCUAGCGUUGUUCGGAAUUACUGGGCGUAAAGCGCACGUAGGCGGCUUCGCAAGUCAGGGGUGAAAGCCCGGGGCUCAACCCCGGAAGUGCCUUUGAGACUGCGUCGCUUGAAUCCGGGAGAGGCGGGUGGAAUUCCGGGUGUAGAGGUGAAAUUCGUAGAUAUUCGGAGGAACACCAGAGGCGAAGGCGGCCCGCUGGACCGGUAUUGACGCUGAGGUGCGAAAGCGUGGGGAGCAAACAGG
rnacentral:rRNA from 1 species